rnacentral:rRNA from 1 species
GACAGAGGUGCCGAGCGUUAGGCGGAAUCACUGGGCUUAAAGCGUGUGUAGGCGGAUCGUUAAGUACCUUGUGAAAUCCCACGGCUCAACCGUGGAACGGCUGGGUAUACUGGCGAUCUUGGGCCACUCAGGGGCGAGCGGAACAAGUGGUGGAGCGGUGAAAUGCGUAGAUAUCACUUGGAACGCCGACGGUGAAAACAGCUCGCUGGGAGUGUGCCGACGCUGAGACACGAAAGCCAGGGGAGCGAACGGG